AGAGUUUGAUCAUGGCUCAGGAUGAACGCUAGCUACAGGCUUAACACAUGCAAGUCGAGGGGAAACGACAUCGAAAGCUUGCUUUUGAUGGGCGUCGACCGGCGCACGGGUGAGUAACGCGUAUCCAACCUGCCCACCACUUGGGGAUAACCUUGCGAAAGUAAGACUAAUACCCAAUGAUAUCUCUAGAAGACAUCUGAAAGAGAUUAAAGAUUUAUCGGUGAUGGAUGGGGAUGCGUCUGAUUAGCUUGUUGGCGGGGUAACGGCCCACCAAGGCAACGAUCAGUAGGGGUUCUGAGAGGAAGGUCCCCCACCAUUGGAACUGAGACACGGUCCAAACUCCUACGGGAGGGCAUCA
rnacentral:rRNA from 1 species